ACCUCCCACGCAGCUCCUUCUCUUUCCCCCAUCCCCGCCAGUCCGCCACCACGCGUCAAUCCUGUCGUCGCCCGUCGAUCCGGCGCGCAGUUCCACCCUCGUCUCUCUCCCUGGUCCAGCAACGUCACCCAGCCCCUUAGCUUUUCCUCCCGGCGCGAAAAUGUCCUUUUGACUCCCGUCUCCGUCUUGUUGGCCCGCAGAUCUGGCAGCCCUCGGCCACGACGCUGCGAGCUCUGGCCGGCUUGACCUCGUCGCCCCCAUCCAAUAGGUGCUCGACGCCGCUCCUCAGGACCGCGGCGGUCUUCUUCAUGGUCUCUCUCUCCCUUCACCUCCUACGCCAUGUAUCGGCCCCUUCCUGAAGCUCCUCCUCAUCCGUGUGCCCCCCUAAUGUCGCCGAGUGGACCACGCCCACUCCCGCCUCCGCCCGCCUGUACCAGGUCCGGUCGCCUCUUCCUUUGGGCUUUGCGCAAUUCGUCGAGCAGGUCAUAUAUGUGGCGUGUGUACGUGUGCUUUUGUAAUGGAUGGUGGCAUUGUGUUCUGGUGGUUGGGGUGCAGGAUUUGCUCCUGUUGUUCAAGUUGAAUACCGGGGAGAUGGAGGAGAUGGUGCCAUGAAGGGCUAGUGUGGUGGCCACAUCAGAUUCCGAAGGCGGCUUUGAAAGGGGUGAGAUGAUGCUCGUCAAGACUAACUGAAAAGGUUAGUCCAUCAUGUCUUACCCAUUUAGUUAUGCGCCAAUUUAGUUCUGGACAACAUGAGCAUGCUGCGGAUAACUUGCUUUGAGACAUGCUCUUUUUAUUUGAGCCUGAUUUCUUAGAUUACCUCAUUGCCUACGUGGUACUGUUGUACUGUAUAUGAUGUAUGCACCUGCUUAUGCCCUAUUUUCCCAGAUGUGGCUCAUAACAGAGAUAUCUAUCUAUUAAAUCCAUCUUAAUUAAGGUGCGAUGGCACAAUUUGGUUGAACUCAUAUAGGAAAAGAUGUUGCUAUAAUCAAUUACAGUAAAAUCAUUUGCACAGAGAAAAAUAUUUCAACAUUAGACAAUAUGAUCUGGCAUGUUUGACCCUCAUCAGGCGUCCUCCUUUCUAGCUUUUGUUUUUCCCUGUACUAGCUUUGCCUCUUUUGGUCCUCAGCUUUCCAGACCAUGAUGCUUUUGAGAAUGUCCAGCAAACUUGGUUUCAUUUUAGUAAUGGAACCAGGGGGUCGCCUCUCUGUUUAUCUAAAAAAGUGGAAAGUAUUGAAUUUUUUUGGAAGUGCAUACAGAAAUAAUGGCAGCUUAACAUGAAGAAUGAUUGUGACAUGUCAUACGAAACAUAAGAAGUUGCUUAAUUUGCUAUGCGCAAUAUAACCUAAACUAUUGUUGGUGGAGAUUAGUGUGCUACUGCUAUUUAAUUUGUUUGAAUGAAAAAUUAUAUUUAUAUCUUUCUUUACAUGACAUUCUUAAUCUGUUUUUUGUAUUUAUUGUAUGCCCAAACUAGCCAAUAGUGUUAUGCUAGUCUACUGCUUCUGUUGUGUCAUCAGACUGCAAAAUAUAAGCGCUAGUAUAUAUACUUCAGUGGGGUUGCAGAUGUCUGUUGUACAUUUGUACUUGGUUAUCAUUUUACAACUUCAACAAGCCAAUGAAUCGAUUAUCGAUACGACAUAUGUGUCUUUCAGAUAAGGUUUUUUUUUACCUGUAUCACCUAGCCAUCUUGGUGUAACCAUAGUACAUGCGGGUUCUGGACAUAGGAUUGUUAUAGUUAAUUAAAAAAUGUCAUGUGCUUCGAAUUAUAUUAAUGUUACAAGUAAUUUGAAAAGCAUGAUGUGUUCUGAACCGUUGCAAACUUAUAAUGAAAUUGACAUUAGUGCAGUUUAUUGGUAUAUUCCUUUUGUACACAGAGCAACGUGUAGUACUCAGUCUAUUACUUGGAGUUGCGUUCCUGCUGAUUCAUGUAACCCUGAAAAUUGCAUGUGAAGGACCAAAAGGAAUGGGAGACAAUACUGAAGAAUCGUGAUCUAUGGCAAGGGUGAUGAUGUCUAUGGCGAUGAGUGUUAUGAUCUAUUUGGCGACAAGCAUUAUGAUCCAUAUGGUGAUGAAGGGUGACGAGUCUAGUGAUCUUUCUUCAAGACGUUCAACAAAGUGAAAUCAUGGGGUUUUGGUCAAUCUAGCUUAUGCAUAAUGCUUGGACCAUUAUAUCUUAGUUAUUUUUUUUUGCAUUUUAAACUUUCUAGAUUGUUCAUCAUGAUCAAUGUAAUUCUGAUGCAACUCUUCUAAUAUUUUGAAAGUUGUGCUAUAUACAAUAUAUGUUACUUGGUCAUG